rnacentral:rRNA from 1 species
CCUGGCUCAGAUUGAACGCUGGCGGCAUGCUUUACACAUGCAAGUCGAACGGCAGCGGGGUAGUGCUUGCACUACUGUCCGGCGAGUGGCGAACGGGUGAGUAAUAUAUCGGAACGUACCGAGUAAUGGGGGAUAACCAAUCGAAAGAUUGGCUAAUACCGCAUACGUCCUAAGGGAGAAAGCGGGGGAUCGCAAGACCUCGCGUUAUUCGAGCGGCCGAUAACUGAUUAGCUAGUUGGUGGGGUAAAGGCCUACCAAGGCGACGAUCAGUAGCGGGUCUGAGAGGACGAUCCGCCACACUGGGACUGAGACACGGCCCAGACUCCUACGG